UGCAUAUAUAUACACAGGUGGGUGGUUUCACCUCAGUCUCAUGCUUUCUCUUGAGCUCUCCCAGUGGUGGUAACUGCAGCCAAGCGGGCUGGAUCUGGCGUGAUCAAUCGGGACGCACAUCAUAUCAUCGGUACAGUGACGCUGGGAGACGGGUCGCUCCGUUCAGCGUGCCGUGGGUGCUUCUGUGACGACAGGGUUUGGUGAGCUGAGGUGAUCGGAAGUACACAGCAUGACUUUGUGUUCUGAAAUUCUUAAAGUUGCUUCUGUUCCACCUGCAUAAAAGCGUGCAACUGACUCUCUUUUAAGACGCUCAUAUGGAUCCUGCUACUGUCUGAUGCUGCAGGUCAUGGGGGGGCUGGAGUCUAUCCCAGCUGACUUAGAAUGAAGAAUCACCUAUUAACCUCACCAUGUUGUUGGACUGUGGGAGGAAGCCGGAGUACCUGGAGAAAACCCACGCAUGUGCAGAAGGCAAAAGUGCUAACCACCAAGCCACUGUGCAGCCUCCAAAGCCGACAUGACAUUCUUUAUUUGUGAGUCUCAUUAAUCUGACCUGUUCUAUAUUAAGCGCAGUAAAGUUUUCUCUCCGUUUGACAUUUGUUUGUAAAAGAUGUGAAAUAAUAAAUGCCUUAAUAAUUAUCAAAGUUCUUAAAUGCUCUGCAAAAGGCACACACCAUCAAACAUUACCUUGCUGGAGACAUCUUUCCCCUCUAUGUAUUCUGCUUUCAAGUCCUUUUUAGAGCCUCACUUUUAUCUGCAGAAAUAAAAUAAAGAUGGUAAAGGAUGGGAUUUGCUGUGCUAAAGACAUCACCGACUCACCUCUCAACUCAAUCUGCUACAUUUAUCCCUCAGUAAUAAACAUGUUCGGGCAUGCUGGUUGUACUGGACUGUUCAAGGUUCGGCAAUUGGAAGACAGACAUCUGGAUUUACCAUCCUUAUCAACUUACCUUUUGUUAUCCAGUGGUGUCUCCAGAUUUUUAUCAUCGAGUCUAUAGAUAAAAUAGUCCAGGAGAAGAGAUGUUGUGUUGUACUGGAGAACAAAACAAACCCAUAAGCAGGACAUCCAUAGUUUAUUUAUAAUUUCUUAAACACUGAUGAUUCUAUCCAAGUAAAUUCAUGAAACUAUAGCAACAAUAAAAUGUAUUUUCAUUGUUGCUCUGCUACCCAUAUUUUGCAUUAAAGGUUUGAUUUGUUUUGUUUGCAAAAAAUGACUUGAUCAACUUUGGAUGAAAAAUCCACAGGAAUUUUAAAUGAUCUUUAGCUUUUCAAACUAAAACUUAAGUUGGAAUGUUUCCCAUUAUACACAGAAGAAAUGCUUUAAGUGCUUAAAUUUAUUUGUCAUUUCA